rnacentral:misc_RNA from 1 species
UCCGGCUUAUCACCGGCAGUCCCCUUAGAGUGCCCAACUGAAUGAUGGCAACUAAGGGCGAGGGUUGCGCUCGUUGCGGGACUUAACCCAACAUCUCACGACACGAGCUGACGACAGCCGUGCAGCACCUGUGUUCCAGCCAGCCGAACUGAAGAGCCUCAUCUCUGAAGCUCAUACUGGACAUGUCAAGGGUCGGUAAGGUUCUGCGCGUUGCUUCGAAUUGAACCACAUGCUCCACCGCUUGUGCGGGCCCCCGUCAAUUCCUUUGAGUUUUAAUCUUGCGACCGUACUCCCCAGGCGGGAUGCUUAAAGCGUUAGCUGCGCCACUGAGCAGCAAGCUGCCCAACGGCUGGCAUUCAUCGUUUACGGCGUGGACUAC